UCGUAUAACGGAGGUGCCGGGGCUGUCGCUAACUUUGUGCACGCCCUGGUGCUCUCUCGCAAAAUUUAUCUCACCCCCUUUGUGCAUCACCGCGUGGGUGCUCUCCUUUUGGUUCGUUCCGAAAGGGGGCAUUUGCGUUUUUAUACAAACACCAAUUUUUAAGAGCAUGUGUAGAAUGUCUUACCUUUUUGCGAUUAUGCGCAAUCAAUA
rnacentral:misc_RNA from 1 species